UACGUAGGGUCCGAGCGUUGUCCGGAAUUAUUGGGCGCAAAGGGCUCGUAGGCGGUUUGUCACGUCGGGCGUGAAAACUCAGGGCUCAACCCUGAGCGUGCGUUCGAUACGGGCAGACUAGAGGUAUGCAGGGGAGAACGGAAUUCCUGGUGUAGCGGUGGAAUGCGCAGAUAUCAGGAGGAACACCGGUGGCGAAGGCGGUUCUCUGGGCAUUACCUGACGCUGAGGAGCGAAAGCAUGGGGAGCGAACAGG
rnacentral:rRNA from 1 species